AUGUUCUCUGUAGCUCUGCUGCUGCUGUUGGCAGCUGGAUCCUGUGUUGAUGGUCAGACUCUGACACAAUCUGAACCAGCAGUUAAAAAGCCUGGAGAAUCCCACAAACUGACCUGUACAGGCUCUGGAUUCACAUUCAGUAGCCUCUACAUGAACUGGAUCAGACAGGCUCCUGGAAAAGGACUGGAGUGGAUUGCUUAUAUCAAUACUGGUGGUGGUAGCACAUACUACUCUCAGUCAGUUCAAGGCCGGUUCACCAUCUCCAGAGACAACAGCAGACAGCAGCUGUAUCUGCAGAUGAACAGUCUGAAGACUGAAGAUUCUGCUGUUUAUUAUUGUGCUCGACACUCACAGUGA